rnacentral:rRNA from 1 species
AGAGCGAACGCUGGCGGCAGGCUUAACACAUGCAAGUCGAGCGGGCGUAGCAAUACGUCAGCGGCAGACGGGUGAGUAACGCGUGGGAACGUACCUUUUGGUUCGGAACAACACAGGGAAACUUGUGCUAAUACCGGAUAAGCCCUUACGGGGAAAGAUUUAUCGCCGAAAGAUCGGCCCGCGUCUGAUUAGCUAGUUGGUGAGGUAAUGGCUCACCAAGGCGACGAUCAGUAGCUGGUCUGAGAGGAUGAUCAGCCACAUUGGGACUGAGACACGGCCCAAACUCCUACGGGAGGCAGCAGUGGGGAAUAUUGGACAAUGGGCGCAAGCCUGAUCCAGCCAUGCCGCGUGAGUGAUGAAGGCCCUAGGGUUGUAAAGCUCUUUUGUGCGGGAAGAUAAUGACGGUACCGCAAGAAUAAGCCCGGCUAACUUCGCGCCAGAAGCCGC